rnacentral:rRNA from 1 species
AACGAACGCUGGCGGCGUGCUUAACACAUGCAAGUCGAACGCGAAAGGGACUUCGGUCCUGAGUAAAGUGGCGCACGGGUGAGUAACGCGUAGAUAACCUGUCUUCAUGUCUGGAAUAAUACGCCGAAAGGGGUACUAAUACCGGAUAUUCUUGCUUUUCAUAAGUUAUGCAAGCAAAGGUGGCCUCUGCAUAUGCUACUGCAUGAAGAGGGGUCUGCGUACCAUUAGCUAGUAGGUGGGGUAAUGGCCUACCUAGGCGACGAUGGUUAGCGGGUCUGAGAGGAUGAUCCGCCACACUGGCACUGGAACACGGGCCAGACUCCUACGGGAGGCAGCAGUGAGGAAUAUUGCGCAAUGGGGAAACCCUGACGCAGCGACGCCGCGUGAGUGAGGAAAGGCCUUCGGGUCGCAAAGCUCUGUCAAGAGGAAAGAAGUGUACAAUGGCUAAUACCUGUUGUAUUUGACGGUACCUCUAAAGGAAGCACCGGCUAACUCCGUGCCAGCAGCCGC